GUACAGUGAACUAAAGCCUGAAGAACAGCUGAAAACAACCUGAUAACAAAGAGGCACAGAUAAUAAAUAGAACCGUAGGAUCUUUUGAGUUGGAAGGAACCUUAAGGGUGAUCUAGUCCAACUCCCCCACAGUGAACAAGGACAUCUACAGCUUAGAGCUCUAAGCCAUCCAGCCUGAAUUUAAAGGUCCCCAGGACUCUAGCAACCCAUUCCAGUUCUCAGUACAUGGAACUAAGAAAUACCAUGAGCAGUUGGUGGAGGGCUAGUUGUUCUGGAUGUGUCUCUAAUGCGAUAAGCAAUUUGGUCCCCUCUUGGUCAUAGACCCAGAAGAAAGCCUUAAGCCUUGAAAGAAAGCUGUUAGAGAGCUGGGCUGGACUGAGUUUCAUAUGAAUGCUUUCUGACAAUUGUUGUCUCUUGUCAAUCUCUAUAACUGGCCAAGGACCAGCUGUAAGCUCAGUAUCUCGCAGGACUACAACAGAAGGAGAUGACAGCUGGCCAUGGUGGGCUGUAGUGACACAGUUUCCUGAGAAAACAGGCUACUCUCUUGAUGACUUCUGCCUGAAGAUGAAACUCCAGAGAGUGUAUCUGUUGUGGAAAGAGAGGCUGUACGAGCACUGCAGAGCUGAUUCUUUCUCUCAGGCUUUGAAGGAGCGUAGACUCAGAAAAGCUCUGAAAUUAUGGCACCAGAAGUAUCUCAUGCUGAAGGCAAACAAAGAAAGUCCUCAGCACUCUCACAGGGCUGUCUAUGAAGAACCUCUUGCUGUGCUGUUUUGUGAGGAAUGCUCAACAUCUUCCGGCUUCCACAGCAGUGCUCCAACUACUCUUGCCUCUCAAAGCUCACUGGAAAAGGAAUACAGUUUCAGUGACAGCAGCCAGCAGAGCUGCUCCUCCGUUCUGACUGCUGAGGAUGUGACAUACCUGCCUUAUUACAAUUCUUUCCUGCAACUACACCAGUGUGCAGAGCUGCCAGCUGAGCUGGGUGGAGAGCUGUGCUUGCAGGCUUCCUUUCCUCCAUGGAGGACUAGAUCUGGGU
rnacentral:lncRNA from 1 species